rnacentral:lncRNA from 1 species
GUUCACUCCUUGUACCCAUACAGCUUUGCAAUUCCUCUUAAGGGUAGUGAAGUGCACUUCCCCAUUCCUUGCCUUUGAGGUCAACCAGGAGAUAACCUUCAGCCAAUGAGAUGUUAAUAGUGACUUGAAAUACGCGGAAUUGAUGAACUUACCUUCUUGUACCUCUGACAUCUCUGUGCGAAGGGCUUCUGGAGUAGCGGCUGACUUUUCCGCCUGGUGGUAGCCAAGAGACCAGCACACCAGACUCACGGCUUGAGGCAGGGUCACAGCCGCAAUCAGCCUUGACCGGACAACCCAGACAACUCGGCCAACGCAGCACAGACUACUUGUCUUCGUAUUGCUGACACUAAAUCCAACCGGCGGGCGGAGAUCUGGAAUCCUGUGCAUUCCCUACGACCAAUCUGUAUCGUUGCUUUGCUGAAAAAGAGACAUGGACGAUGGACUAUCGCUGGGGAAUUCAGAUUUCCAGUCUAAGGGAGACAUUAUCACUUUCAACCUUACCAACAAACCACAAGGACCCUCAAAAAGGAAUAAAGAGAGACUUUGUAUCUGUAAAGUUGUCACCAUUGUCAUGUUCUUUCUGAUGAUUUUGAUAACUACCCUGGCCACAAUUUUAGCAGGUGAGUUGCCCACUUCCCAAAUACGCUCAUGUUAACUCUACUAUAAGAUAUUUCACUGUAUGUGUGCUUUAAGGGUAAUUCUUGAACAUCUUUUUGCAUGGAAUGGACAUAUGUUUCUUCUAUAAA